rnacentral:rRNA from 1 species
GAUGAACGCUGGCGGCGUGCCUAAUACAUGCAAGUCGAGCGAAGCGGGGACGGGUGAGUAACACGUGGAUAACCUCCUAUAAGACUGGGAUAACUUCGGGAAACCGGAGCUAAACCGGAUACUUAUAGAUGGAUCCGCGCUGCAUUAGCUAGUUGGUAAGGUAACGGCUUACCAAGGCAACGAUGCAUAGCCGACCUGAGAGGUGGUUCUGCCACACUCGAAAUGAGAAACGGUCUCUCCUCCUACGAGAGGCAGCAGUGGGGAAUAUUCACGAAUGGGCGAAAGCCUGACGGAGCAACGCCGUGUGAAUGAUGAAGGUCUUCGGAUCGGAAAACUAUGUUACUAGGGAAGCGUUACCUUAUCAGAAAGCCACGGCUAACUCCGGGCCAGCAGCCGCGGUAAUAC